GUGGGGAAUAUUGGACAAUGGGCGAAAGCCUGAUCCAGCCAUGCCGCGUGUGUGAAGAAGGUCUUCGGAUUGUAAAGCACUUUAAGUUGGGAGGAAGGGUAGUAACCUAAUACGUUGCUACUUUGACGUUACCGACAGAAUAAGCACCGGCUAACUUCGUGCCAGCAGCCGCGGUAAUACGAAGGGUGCAAGCGUUAAUCGGAAUUACUGGGCGUAAAGCGCGCGUAGGUGGUUCAGUAAGUUGGAAGUGAAAUCCCCGGGCUCAACCUGGGAACUGCUUUCAAAACUGCUGAGCUAGAGUACGGGAGAGGGUGGUGGAAUUUCCUGUGUAGCGGUGAAAUGCGUAGAUAUAGGAAGGAACACCAGUGGCGAAGGCGACCACCUGGACUGAUACUGACACUGAGGUGCGAAAGCGUGGGGAGCAAACAGGAUUAGAAACCCCAGUAGUCC
rnacentral:rRNA from 1 species